GCAUAACCAUUCUGCUUGAUCUGGAUAGUCAAGUGGAGACUUUUGGAAAAAGGUGAUCCUUCAGGGGGAAAAAAGAACUUCCAGUGCAAGAUAGAAGUGUGUUUAUUAUCGGAAUUACACAGAACAUCUGCCUCUGUGCCCCAGCCAACUUUGGGAUUUUGAAAAACCAAGUCAAUGCACAGAAAAUGAAAUUCAUCCUUAUUUCCAGGUUGAAUCUCUUUCUGACAAGCUUCCACCCAUUGCUUCUUGUUCUCCCUUCAAGUGCUAUGGAAA